rnacentral:rRNA from 1 species
GAUAAACGCUGGCGGCGUGCCUAAUACAUGCAAGUCGAGCGAAUGGAUUAAGAGCUUGCUCUUAUGAAGUUAGCGGCGGACGGGUGAGUAACACGUGGGUAACCUGCCCAUAAGACUGGGAUAACUCCGGGAAACCGGGGCUAAUACCGGAUAACAUUUUGAACCGCAUGGUUCGAAAUUGAAAGGCGACUUCGGCUGUCACUUAUGGAUGGACCCGCGUCGCAUUAGCUAGUUGGUGAGGUAACGGCUCACCAAGGCAACGAUGCGUAGCCGACCUGAGAGGGUGAUCGGCCACACUGGGACUGAGACACGGCCCAGACUCCUACGGGAGGCAGCAGUAGGGAAUCUUCCGCAAUGGACGAAAGUCUGACGGAGCAACGCCGCGUGAGUGAUGAAGGCUUUCGGGUCGUAAAACUCUGUUGUUAGGGAAGAACAAGUGCUAGUUGAAUAAGCUGGCACCUUGACGGUACCUAACCAGAAAGCCACGGCUAACUACGUGCCAGCCGCCGCUGUAA